UCUGUCUGAAACUGAUAAAAAUGGUGAUGGAGUUUUUCCAGAGUCUCGCUCAUAGUCAGUAGCAAAACAAAGGGAGACAGAGCGGAAUUUUGCAGGCGUCCAACACUGUAGGCAUUUUCGUAGCGUGAAAAUGAGAUUCUAUUGUAGCGCAUCUCAAAGUUUCAGUCCAUGUUUUUCACCAGACAGACAGACAGUUCAUUAAUUCACAGGCAGGAUUAUCAUUCUUGUACCUUCCGAUGACCUCGGAGUUGUCACCAAGUCAGCUACCCUUAAAGGUGAUGCCAGUGUUGUGCUGCCGUGCUGAUGGAUAGUGAAGAAGAAGAACAGAGAUGGUGCAUCUGCAGAGGUGUGAUACAGGUAGUAAUAAUAAUGUAAUUGUAUGUAUAUACUGUAUUUCUUAACUGCAUUACACUGUCCUUCACUGUUUUAGAGUACUACACUCCAAUCUAUAUUCCCACUGUGUCAACGAAUGCAAAACAAAUAGCAAGUCCUAAAUACUACAACAUUACCAGUUCAACAAGUUAAUGA